rnacentral:rRNA from 1 species
UACGGAGGGGGCUAGCGUUGUCCGGACUUACUGGGCGUAAAGCGCACGUAGGCGGAUCAGAAAGUCAGAGGUGAAAUCCCACGGCUCAACCUUGGAACUGCCUUUGAAACUCCUGAUCUUGAGGGCGAGAGAGGUGAGUGGAAUUCCGAGUGUAGAGGUGAAAUUCGUAGAUAUUCGGAGGAACACCAGUGGCGAAGGCGGCUCGCUGGCUCGAUACUGACGCUGAGGCGCGAAAGCGUGGGGAGCAAACAGG